UGCCAGCAGCCGCGGUAAUACGGAGGGUGCAAGCGUUAAUCGGAAUCACUGGGCUUAAAGCGUGCGCAGGCGGACUGGUAGGUAUCUUGUGAAAUCCCACGGCUUAACCGUGGAACUGCAGGGUAAACCCCCAGUCUUGAGGCGGUUAGGGGUCAGUGGAACCAUGAGUGGAGCGGUGAAAUGCGGAGAUAUUCAUGGGAACGCCAAUGGCGAAGGCAGCUGACUGGGCCUGUUAUGACGCUCAUGUACGAACGCGUGGGGAGCAAACAGGAUUAGAUA
rnacentral:rRNA from 1 species